rnacentral:tRNA from 1 species
ACUUUUGUGGUGUAAUUUCUAAACACGUCUGGCUAUGAAUCAGAAGGUUCAGAGUUCACGCCCCUGCAAGGGCA